AGUGAACGCUGGCGGUAGGCCUAACACAUGCAAGUCGAACGGCAGCACAGUAAGAGCUUGCUCUUACGGGUGGCGAGUGGCGGACGGGUGAGGAAUACAUCGGAAUCUACUUUUUCGUGGGGGAUAACGUAGGGAAACUUACGCUAAUACCGCAUACGACCUACGGGUGAAAGCAGGGGGUCUUCGGACCUUGCGCGAUUGAAUGAGCCGAUGUCGGAUUAGCUAGUUGGCGGGGUAAAGGCCCACCAAGGCGACGAUCCGUAGCUGGUCUGAGAGGAUGAUCAGCCACACUGGAACUGAGACACGGUCCAGACUCCUACGGGAGGCAGCAGUGGGGAAUAUUGGACAAUGGGCGCAAGCCUGAUCCAGCCAUACCGCGUGGGUGAAGAAGGCCUUCGGGUUGUAAAGCCCUUUUGUUGGGAAAGAAAAGCAGCAGGUUAAUACCCCGCUGUUCUGACGGUACCCAAAGAAUAAGCACCGGCUAACCUCGUG
rnacentral:rRNA from 1 species